CCUACCAAGUGUGAGGUGCCUUGAUGUGCCAUGGAGAAAAAGUCACAGUCCCAGAGCUGGAUGGUUUACAUGCCACAUACAGAAGCUGCACACAUUACCUCACUCUGAAAUGAAGGCAUGGCCAAGGUGGUCAAGGGAAGGGACCCUGAAAGGGAUCAGCCUCCUCAAGUCAGGUCACAGCAAGUCAUCACCCCGACUCCUCCUCCCCCUCUUCAGGAAAUUCAGAAUCCAUGGAAGGAAUCUGAAGCGGAAGAGGAUGUGGAAUUCAAUGACCUUAAAAAAAAAA